rnacentral:rRNA from 1 species
AACAAACGCUGGCGGCGUGCCUAAUACAUGCAAGUCGAACGGGGAAAGCUUUCGGGUGAGUACUAGUGGCGCACGGGUGAGGAACGCGUGGAUAAUCUGCCUUAGAGUGGGGGAUAACUAGUCGAAAGAUUAGCUAAUACCGCAUAAGACCACAGGAGCUGCGGCUCAAGGGGUCAAAGGUUUUUCGCUCUAAGAUGAGUCCGCGUAAGAUUAGCUAGUUGGUGAGGUAACGGCUCACCAAGGCGACGAUCUUUAACUGGUCUGAGAGGAUGAUCAGUCAGACUGGAACUGAGACAUGGUCCAGAGUCCUACGGGAGGGAGCAGUAGGGAAUAUUGCACAAUGGAGGAAACUCUGAUGCAGCGACGCCGCGUGAGUGAUGAAGGCCUUCGGGUCGUAAAGCUCUGUCGCAGGGGAAUAACACAAUGAAGGUACCCUGUAAGAAAGGAUCGGCUAACUUCGUGCCAGCAGCCGCGGUAACAC